rnacentral:lncRNA from 10 species
CUGCUGUAAGGUCCUAAAGUAGAUAAAACCUAAGUUGCAAUUCCGGUUUUCCUCAAAAUCUAAGACAUGUCACAAAAUAAUUUACUGCCUUUGUUGAUCUCGCUCCUGUAACAAGCUUCCUGCCUCACGUAUCUCCCGCCUUAAAGAGUUUAAAAGGCAAUCACCCAAAACCAACCGUGGCUACCCAUUCAAGACUGUUUCCACACUGUGGAAGCUUUGUACUUUCACUCUGCUCAAUAAAGCCUGCAGCUUUUUCUCACUCUCAGUCCAUGUCUCUUUCACUCACUGUGGUCAGCUUCCACACCAUUUCUUUGGUGUGGCUUGGCAAGAACCUCAGGUGUUACAUCUUGGCGAGCCAGACAGGAGACUCCAGAAAAGGGGUGAUUUUCCUGUACCAGUCCAAUGCCUCCAGAGGAAGAUCAUACAUUUGCCAUUUUACUGCUUAGUACGCAUGCUUGAGCCUGCUCGCCCAACUGCUGAGAUCUUAUUCAGAAACUGCUGAUCACCAACUCCAGGUGUUUUUAUUACACAAGACAAAAACGGAAAAACAGUAACAAAUGAUUGGUUAAGCCUUUCAAAACAAAGAAGUUGAAGGUCACUGGAAUAGGUUCAUUACACUCAAGCAAAGGCCUGGGGAAAUGAUAGAAUUACCUCUGUUGACCCAGAAGAGCACCAAAAGCACCAGUGUGCAGAAAUCAGAGACCUCAAGCUAAAAGUCAUAAAAGGACAAGAACCUGGAAGUCGUCGAACUGUGGAAGCAAAAGACCUGUAAUGCUCCUGCUUGCCGAGCUGUGAGCAGUGGUAGUAAAAGAGCAGUAACAUUCUCUCCUGCUUGCCAAACAGGAGAGAAGCCACUGGCACCACUCCCUCCCACUCACUGAACUAUAGAAGAGAAAAAAUUGAAACACCAAAAUUGGGGAAAUGCGACUUUUGCGAAAAUUUGAAAGUGCAUGCUUCACAGAAGGAAGGGGGAGCUGGUCUAUUAUGUCUCACUAUAACAAGACUAAAAUUUUGCAAAUAAAUUGUUCCUGCCAUAAUUUAUCCUUGGUAGAAAUGAAGAAAUUGGAGAGAGAAAAAAUUGGAUUCUAGGUCCUGACCAUUGUUUUUGAAUUUUUAUUAUUUUCCUACAAUUUAGGCUAAAUUCUGAACUAUUUGCUGGCUACAAGAGGCCUCUAAAAAAGAGCUGGGUUUUAGUUUUCUUCAUGCUCUUUAAAAACUGGCAUAUAAUGGUGUGUAUCUCUCGUUGUUUUACUUCUAAGAAACUGAAGGCAUGAUAUUCUGAAGACUAGAGGUGAUUCAAUAGCCUAUGAAUCUUCUUCAUUUGGAACCCCACUGGGCCUGAUCUGUUUCCCAUCACCAAUGCACUUCUGCUAAACCUAUAUCCUAUCAAGUACUCUCCCUAAAUGCUCAGAGACCAUAACAGAAGAUGAGGGUGUGUGAGAUUAUAAAAGCCAAAUUAGUGGAGUGGAAUCUGGAGGCUAAAGCAACUCCAUCUUGGAUGCUAAUCUGCCAUGUUGGCUUCUGAUUAACCCCAGUUCUGGAGGGCCUCUGAGGUUUCCAAUUUAUCUACUGUCCCUUGUGUAAGAACAAGUACUUAUCAUAAAUCCUGCUAUUAGGGCAAAUUUCUACCCAUUCCCUCUGAAGCAUGUGCACCUCUCCUCUACAUGUAAUCUCCCCUACAAUAGAUAAACCCCUCUGGGUCUGGGGGCUAAUAGUGUGGGAACCCAUCAUCUUGCCUCACUGCUGCACAAGCCACAGGUGUGGCUUCUGUUUCUAAGUCCCUAUUAAAUGUUUCUAGAUACCAGAUGUAUCAACCUCUUUCUUCAGCCUCUCAGCUUCCUGGGACUUUGGGGUUGGUUUGCAUAGACCUACCCACCAAAAAACUCUCACAGAGUCAGUCUUAAAUACAUACAGAGCACGGUUGGGAAAAUUCCAUGAAUAUUUAUAGGGGAAGUCAUGUGCUUGAAAAUUGGAUAAACUUGUAUGUAACAUACAUUCCAUUUUGACCUGGGGGUGAGGUUUCAGCUGGGAUUCGACUGUUUAUGUCAAAAGGUAAACUCUAGGGCAAAAAGAAUUUGGACAUAGUCUCUGCAAGCUGACUGAAACUGGCUUAAGAUCUAUGGUCACUUAUCAAUAAAGAAUGUGAUAAAAACGGUCUUUGUCCAAUCAGAGUGCUGGCAGGACCACAAGGCAAGG